GACGAACCGAGCGAACGUUGUUCGGAAUUACUGGGCGUAAAGCGCGCGUAGGCGGACCUGCAAGUCGGGGGGUGAAAGCCCGAGGCUCAACCUCGGAACUGCCUUCGAUACUGCGGGUCUCGAGGUCCGGGAGAGGGUGAGUGGAAUUCCUAGUGUAGAGGUGAAAAUCGUAGAUAUUAGGAAGAAACACCAGUGCGGAAGGCGGCUCACUGGCCC
rnacentral:rRNA from 1 species